ensembl:snRNA U4 U4 spliceosomal RNA
AGCUUUGCGUAGUAGCAGUAUCAUAGACAGUGAGGAUUAUCCAAGCCAUGAUUAUUGCUAAUUGAUAAAAAUAGUAUUGCUAAUAG